AGUGAACGCUGGCGGUAGGCCUAACACAUGCAAGUCGAACGGCAGCACAGUAAGAGCUUGCUCUUACGGGUGGCGAGUGGCGGACGAGUGAGGAAUACAUCGGAAUCUACUUUUUCGUGGGGGAUAACGUAGGGAAACUUACGCUAAUACCGCAUACGACCUACGGGUGAAAGCAGGGGAUCUUCGGACCUUGCGCGAUUGAAUGAGCCGAUGUCGGAUUAGCUAGUUGGCGGGGUAAAGGCCCACCAAGGCGACGAUCCGUAGCUGGUCUGAGAGGAUGAGCAGCAACACUGAAACGGAGAAACGGUCCAGACUCCUACGGGAGGCAGAAGUGGGGAAUAUGGGAAAAGGGGCGCAAGCCUGAUCCACCCAUCCCGCGGGGGUAAAAAAGGCGUGGGGUUUAAAAAGCCUUUUUGUGGGAAAAAAAAAGCAGAAGGUAAAUACCCCCCUGUUCUGACGGUACAAAAAGAAUAAGCACCGGAAAACUUCGUG
rnacentral:rRNA from 1 species